rnacentral:rRNA from 1 species
UACGUAGGGGCCAAGCGUUGUCCGGAUUUAUUGGGCGUAAAGAGCGCGCAGGCGGUCGUUCAAGUCGAGUGUGAAAGCCCCCGGCUCAACUGGGGAGGGUCACUCGAUACUGAUCGACUUGAAGGCAGGAGAGGGAAGCGGAAUUCCCGGUGUAGUGGUGAAAUGCGUAGAUAUCGGGAGGAACACCAGUGGCGAAGGCGGCUUCCUGGCCUGUUCUUGACGCUGAGGCGCGAAAGCUAGGGGAGCAAACGGG